UAAGGAAUAUUGCUCAAUGGGAGAAAUCCUGAAGCAGCAACGCCGCGUGGAGGAUGAAGGGUCUAUGACUUGUAAACUCCUGUAAAGAAGGAAAAAAUUCCCAUUUGAUGGGAGAUGAUGGUACUUCUGGAGUAAGCCCCGGCUAACUACGUGCCAGCAGCCGCGGUAAUACGUAGGGGGCAAGCGUUGUCCGGAUUUACUGGGUGUAAAGGGUGCUCAGGCGGAUUUGUAAGUCAGAGGUGAAAUCUUACAGCUUAACUGUGAAACUGCCUUUGAUACUGCAAGACUCGAGUAUGGAAGAGAGUGAUGGAAUAUCUGGUGUAGCAGUGAAAUGCGUAGAUAUCAGAUAGAACACCAAUGGCGAAGGCAGUCACUUGGUCCAUUACUGACGCUAAAGCACGAAAGCGUGGGUAGCAAAC
rnacentral:rRNA from 1 species